rnacentral:rRNA from 1 species
AUUGAACGCUGGCGGCGGGCCUAACACGUGCAAGUCGAACGAGUGGCGGACGGGGGAGUAAUGUCUGGGAAACAGUCUGAAGGAGGGGAAAAAAUACUGGGAACGGUAGCUAAUACAGCAUAGCAUUGGGUGUGCCCAUAUGGGAUUAGCUAGUAGGUGGGGUAAAGGCUCACCGAGGCUACGAUCCCUAGCUGGUCUGAGAGGAUGACCAGCCAACCUGGAACUGUGACACCGUCCCGACUCCUACGGUCGGCAGCAGUGGGGAUUAUUGCACAAUGGGCGCAAUCCUGAUGCAGCCAUGCCUCGUGUGUGAAGAAGGCCUUCGGGUUUUAAAGUACUUUAAGCGGGGAGGCGUUCCCCGCAGAGCCAGCACCGGCUAACUCCGUGCCAGCAGCCGCGGUAAUAC